AAAAAGUGGAGACCAGCAACCAUUUUAAAAACGGGGCGAAAACUGAAAAGCCAAACGAGUAAGAAUAAAA
rnacentral:ncRNA from 1 species